GGAAACUGAAAACCCAGAAUAAUCUCAACCAUCUCACCUCGCAAAAUAGAAAACCCUAUUCCAGCCAAACGAUGUUGGACUCAAUCUCAAUCUGUAUCUUGGUCUUAGUCUGAGUUCGCAUCUAUCACUGCUAGGCGAUUGCAUUGGGUAGCAGCACAAGUGAUUCAGGCGGAGGCUGUUAUUUCUUUAAUCCAGAAUACGAAGAGGAAAGUUCAAGGGCAAGCCCACGGAUCACUGCGACUUCUCCACUCACGAAGAGAUGGGUAUUCAAUCUCUCUCUCAUUCUUUCACUUUUUCCUCUAUUUCUAUAUCUAUUUGCAAGGUCUCAGUUGCUUGGUGUUUUCUCCACUCACGAAGAGAUGAGUAUUCAAUAGAUGAAUUUGUAAAUGAUUUGCGUAUUCUAAUUUUGAAUUUGGGGUCUUCAUCUAAAAGCUCGUACUUCUUUCACUAAAAUUUUGUUCCUUUAAUGAAGUUUGGUCUAGUAAAGCAGUGAAGAUAAGUUAUAGGCUUCUAGUAGUGAUUUGGCUUGAAAUCUGGUAGUGAUUUGGCUUGAAAUCUGGUAGUGAUUUCGAUUCGUAGCAGUCAAUUUGAAGGUAUUGGAGUUCAAUUCGCAGCAGGCCAUUUGAAGGUUCCCCUUCUUGGUGGAGCAUUUUGCGCAUGUACUUGGCAUUUCUUUUAUAACACCGAGUCUCUUGAGAUUAUCCACAAUGAAAGGCUUAUUAGUCAGCCCAAAGUGAGAUCUGGUAUUGGUCAUAAUCAGCAUCCUCAUCAUAGUUCUUCUUCGAUCUUCUUCUAUUAGUACUAACAAGUCUAUUUGAUACUUAACGAAUUCAGUCUUGCCGGAGAGCUUCAAGAAACAAACAAGAAGGUGAGAUUAUUUGAUCUACCCUACAAUCUUUCCUCAUUUAUCUUUUUUCAAGUUAAAGAUAUAAGUGUCAACCUUGAGACCAACAAGCAAACUAUCCAUGGCAUUUCAUUGGGAGAGGAAAAUGUACACGUCUCUAUCAUUCGGACGUUGGUUCAUGAAGCUUUGCUACCAUUUCCCAUAAAAGAUGAGAUAGUGACGGUUAAGGAUGCCAUUGGGACUUGUGUUGCUUGGCCAAAGAACCUAGUCAUUACCCUUGCAGCAGAUGCCAAGAAAAAACUAAAGCGUAAAAAUCAGAAGAGGACAACAAUGGAUAUGUUUGAAGAUAAUUAAAGAUUUGCAAUACCUGCCACCAAAUCUCCUAGUGGCUGUAAGUGCCCUGUGCAUUUGGGCCAACCAUGAACUGCGAGAUGGGACCACCAUCCACACCUCUUUUGAUACUGAAAUUUUUGGUCAUCGAAGGAAAGCUGCUGUCUUUAGAAGUGACAUCUAUGCCAUGCCAAACAUGUUGGAACUAUCAGGAGGUUGCAUUAUUUUUUUCAUGAGGUGCACUUGGCUGUGGAAAUCCUAUUGAACGAGCUCGGUCUUUGUCUAAUCGGUUCCAAAAUGGAAAGCCUGGCCAGAUUUAUUUGGUGUCGUAUAACUCAAGUUCUCAUUGGAUGUUGUCUGUUGUGAAUCCCGAUGAAGAGAUCAUUUACUUCAUGGAUCCGUUAAAGAGGCGCCUCAUAACUGGUGAAAGAAAAACAAUUUUGGAUAACUCCAUUAAAAUCUGUAAUGCGAACAAGAAUAGGAAAGGGAGGAAAUUAAUCUAGUGGAAAAAUCUUGCUGUAAGUUGAUAGAGGGAUUUGAAGUAUCCCAGCCUCUUAAUGUUUUACAUAGUAAGUAGUUCUUUUGAUAUGAUGCCUUAUGUUAUCUUCAAGGCAUUCCUGAGCAAAAUGGUAGCAAGAGUUAUGGUUAUUGGAUCAUGCGUUACAUGAAGGAGAUAGUGGAAGACACGAAUUUGGAGUUUGCUACUAAGUGGGAUAGAAGAACAAAUCUUGUUUACACAGAAAAUGAUAUUGAUGAAGUUCGGGCUAAAAUAAGAAGAAGAAGAUUGGGUGUCCUAAGGGAAGUAAAAAUAAGGUUAAAGCUAAAGAGAAACAGGAGGAGAAGAAGAUCCGCAAGUAUAAGAGGCGGGGAAAGGCUUUGAGUUUUGAUUCAAAUGUGGAAGCAUCAGCUGAUGAGGAUGUUAAUGUGCAAGGAACAAUGCAAGUAGGGGAGGGUGAGUCUAUUCCACUUGUGGAAUCUCCGGUUGUAGAGGGAAAGGUAGAAGGUGAGGAAUCACUUUCUACAAGUAGUUUAUUUUGAUUUUGUUUUUUGGGUCUCAAAAAACCAGUGCCUUAGUUGUUACAUUUUAUGCCUGCUUCAAUGUUUCUGGUAUUUGUUAGAAUAAUGGUACGUGGAUUUCCUAAAAGGUGGGUGUACUCGAG